rnacentral:rRNA from 1 species
UAGGGAAUCUUCGGCAAUGGGGGGAACCCUGACCGAGCAACGCCGCGUGAGUGAAGAAGGUUUUCGGAUCGUAAAGCUCUGUUGUUAAGGAAGAACGAGUGUGAGAAUGGAAAGUUCAUGCUGUGACGGUACUUAACCAGAAAGGGACGGCUAACUACGUGCCAGCAGCCGCGGUAAUACGUAGGUCCCGAGCGUUGUCCGGAUUUAUUGGGCGUAAAGCGAGCGCAGGCGGUUAGAAAAGUCUGAAGUGAAAGGCAGUGGCUCAACCAUUGUAGGCUUUGGAAACUGUGUAACUUGAGUGCAGAAGGGGAGGGUGGAAUUCCAUGGGUAGCGGUGAAAUGCGUAGAUAUAUGGAGGAACACCGGUGGCGAAAGCGGCUCUCUGGUCUGUAACUGACGCUGAGGCUCGAAAGCGUGGGGAGCGAACAGG